CCUACGGGAGGCAGCAGUCGAGAAUCAUUCACAAUGGGGGGAACCCUGAUGCAGCGACGCCGCGUGGGUGAAGGAGUGCUUCGGCAUGUAAAGCCCUAUCGGCAGGGAAGAAGCAAGACGGUACCUGACUAAGAAGCCCCGGCUAACUACGUGCCAGCAGCCGCGGUAAUACGUAGGGGGCGAGCGUUAUCCGGAUUCACUGGGUGUAAGGGGAGCGUAGACGGCCAUGCAAGCCAGGGGGGAAAGCCCGGGGCCCAACCCCGGGACUGCCCUUGGAACUGCAUGGCUGGAGUGCGGGAGGGGCAGGCGGAAUGCGUGGUGUAGCGGUGAAAUGCGUAGAUAUCAGGAGGAACACCGGCGGCGAAGGCGGCCUGCUGGACCGCGACUGACGUUGAGGCUCGAAAGCGUGGGGAGCGAACAGGAUUAGAUACCCUAGUAGUC
rnacentral:rRNA from 1 species